UCAUUGAGCCACUGAUUUAUGCUGAACGAGAGCUCUGUGUCGUAAUUCCGUUGAUAACAUCAUAUUUUCCCUCUCGUGGAACGAAAAUAGCGAUCAUAAUUUACAUUUUUACCCAGUUACUCCUUUAGUUACACCCGUUUCAACGAACUCUCUCGCUGUUCUCAAAUGCAACCGAUGGAUGGCGCUGUUUGGGCAUUACUGAAUGAACAUCAAGCGCAAUGGUGUCUGUGUCCUCGUCGACAUGGCAAAGGUUUCAAAUAUUUCACCAAUGGGUCCUAGAAAACGGAGACAAGAGGACCGAUGGAUGGCUUUUGGUUUAUUCUC